AGAGUUUGAUCCUGGCUCAGGAUGAACGCUAGCUACAGGCUUAACACAUGCAAGUCGAGGGGCAUCGGGAAGAAAGCUUGCUUUCUUUGCCGGCGACCGGCGCACGGGUGAGUAACACGUAUCCAACCUGCCCUUUACUCGGGGAUAGCCUUUCGAAAGAAAGAUUAAUACCCGAUAGUAUAAUGAUUCCGCAUGGUUUCAUUAUUAAAGGAUUCCGGUAAAGGAUGGGGAUGCGUUCCAUUAGGUUGUUGGUGAGGUAACGGCCCACCAAGCCUUCGAUGGAUAGGGGUUCUGAGAGGAAGGUCCCCCACAUUGGAACUGAGACACGGUCCAAACUCCUACGGGAGGCAGCAGUGAGGAAUAUUGGUCAAUGGGCGCGAGCCUGAACCAGCCAAGUAGCGUGAAGGAUGAAGGCUCUAUGGGUCGUAAACUUCUUUUAUAUGGGAAUAAAGUUUUCCACGUGUGGAAUUUUGUAUGUACCAUAUGAAUAAGGAUCGGCUAACUCCGUGCCAGCAGCCGCGGUAAUACGGAGGAUCCGAGCGUUAUCCGGAUUUAUUGGGUUUAAAGGGAGCGUAGGUGGACUGGUAAGUCAGUUGUGAAAGUUUGCGGCUCAACCGUAAAAUUGCAGUUGAUACUGUCAGUCUUGAGUACAGUAGAGGUGGGCGGAAUUCGUGGUGUAGCGGUGAAAUGCUUAGAUAUCACGAAGAACUCCGAUUGCGAAGGCAGCUCACUGGACUGCAACUGACACUGAUGCUCGAAAGUGUGGGUAUCAAACAGGAUUAGAUACCCUGGUAGUCCACACAGUAAACGAUGAAUACUCGCUGUUUGCGAUAUACAGUAAGCGGCCAAGCGAAAGCGUUAAGUAUUCCACCUGGGGAGUACGCCGGCAACGGUGAAACUCAAAGGAAUUGACGGGGGCCC
rnacentral:rRNA from 1 species